GUGUGUGUGUGUGUGUGUGUGUGUGUGUGUUGGUUUUUGUGGUUUACGAGGACUUUUGACCUGAAUACGCACCAGCAUUACGGGGACAUUUGGGUUUAUGAGGACACAGGCCAUGUCCUUGUAAUUCCGGCAAUGUAGAUGCCUUUCUCUAUGUCCCAGAAGCACCCUCUCCAAUUUUCGCGGCAUGUCCUUAUAUACCACAAAAACCUGAUUUUAUACCAUACACUGUGUGUCCUCUGUGUACGAGAGUGCGCCCCUGCAGCCGGGUCCUGGUACUGUACCGGCGUCAUCGAAAAUUUGCAUUUUUCACACAAGUGUAAGUAUUGAGGCCUGUGAUUGGUCAGAUCGCUACUGGUAGGCGGGAAAUCACGAAAACAAGAUGGCGCCGACGGGCGGAGCCUAAUUCCGCAGCCCCUAUUGGCUGCAUACGCAAUGAACAACAAGCGAGACAAGAUGGCGCCGGUGGGCGGAGCCUCAUUCAGCUUCAGCGUAUGUCUGUAUAACAAGCGAGUUAAUGCAAAAUACUAAUUAUUUAAGUGUUAUUGCCUAUAAUUUUUCAUUUGUGAAUUAAAUAUAUGAAUAAAUAGUGAUCCUCGAUUAAAAAUAUCCCUUAAAUGUCAUGUAAUAAAGUAUAAAAGUAACUUGAACGCUGUUUACUCAGUAUUUAUACAGUUUAUUUAGCUUGUUAGCAUAUGCUAUUCAUGUAAACACAACCACACAUUAACUCGUGCGCUCACAUCACAUAUAUUUAUUAUUAUUAUUUUAAUCCCGUUUAUAAUGUAAUAAGUAUGGUUUAAUCAGAGUCAUGCCUCAAGUUCAUUUCCUGUUUGGACCGGAUAGAAACUCUGCACCUGAGAAGACAUCUGAGCACCUGAUGGCGAGGCUGCUGUUAUUUUAAAGAAGAUGACAGAAGACACAUCAGAUCAUGCUGAAGUGAAACAGUGAUGGAGAAAGCCCAAGCUCUGGAGGAAGACAUACAGUAUUCACAAAGAUUCAUCAGUGAUUUCACCUGUGUCAGAUGGUAACUGAGAAGAAUCAGAUUCAGAAGAAUAAGAUACAGCAACAAUAAAGAUAAGCCGUGAGACCCAGCUGUCAUCAGUGAUGAUUGUGCUGCUCUUACUGUGGGACUACACCAGACUCUCAGUGAGGUUGGACCCUCUGCUCUCAAAAUGAACACUCUGUCCCAGUCAGAAGUCAGAGAUGUACAGAAGGUGAGCCCUGAGAAGGACCAGUUAUCAAUGGACCAUCAAGACGGUGUUAGACGGAGAAGAUGAGAUCAGUAUGAUGGAUCCUGAUGAAAGCGUUUCUCAGGAUGUUGUUCCUGCUGGAGCUGCGCAGGCGUCUCCAGUAAUGCUGAUGUUCAGAAGAUGCCCAUUUGGAAAACUGCUGAGUUUGUCAAGGUACCUGAGGUUUAAAUUAGAGUAUGGCCAUCAUUGUAAGUACAUGAGCUCUCAAAGAGUGGGAGCUUAAUAAAGUAUGUAUUCAUCUGUACAGAGAAUGAGAGUUCGGCAGAAAUUAAAAAACGGAAAGGAAAAGGACAAAAGGUUUGCUGGUCAGAUGCUGAAGUUACAGCUGUAAUUGAUCAUUUUAAGGCACAUAUGACCAAAGGAAAAUUGUGGACAAAACACAAGAGAUUUUGUAAGAAAUCAAGGAAUUAGCUUGAAAAGAAAAGCACAAAAUAAGUGAUGUUACAUUGUGUCUCAUUUGAUGCUGUUCUGUAAGGAUUAUUAUUUUAGUUGUUGGUUAUGUUAGUUUCAUUCUAUAGCAUGAAUAUACUAAGACUUCACUCUGUAAAUCUCUAAAGUUUAACUGUUCUUUAAAGCAGUAGUUUGUCACAAAAACAUGACAAUUUAAUAUUCAACAUUAUUAUUGAUCUGACUGCAUUGACACUAUUGUAUGAGAACUGAACUGAGCUGGACGAUGACAUGACUGUUGUCUCCAGAUCUGCUGCUGCUGUAUAGAUGAAGUGAACUAAAUUAAUAACUGAUGAGUUUUACAACGUAAUUGAAUCAACACUGAACUGACUCGGGCUGAACAAUGACACGAUACUCUUCUAGAGCUGCUGUACAGCCCAAACAAUCUUUGUUGAACAAUGUUCCUGUUAUGAGGGCUGCUUUGAAACAAUAUGUAGUUUAAAAAGCGCUUUAUAAAUAAAGGUGACUUGACUUGA